rnacentral:rRNA from 1 species
GAUGAACGCUGGCGGCGUGCCUAAUACAUGCAAGUCGAGCGAACGGACGAGAAGCUUGCCUCUCUGAUGUUAGCGGCGGACGGGUGAGUAACACGUGGAUAACCUACCUAUAAGACUGGGAUAACUUCGGGAAACCGGAGCUAAUACCGGAUAAUAUUUUGAACCGCAUGGAUCAAAAGUGAAAGACGGUCUUGCUGUCACUUAUAGAUGGAUCCGCGCUGCAUUAGCUAGUUGGUAAGGUAACGGCUUACCAAGGCAACGAUGCAUAGCCGACCUGAGAGGGUGAUCGGCCACACUGGAACUGAGACACGGUCCAGACUCCUACGGGAGGCAGCAGUAGGGAAUCUUCCGCAAUGGGCGCAAGCCUGACGGAGCAACGCCGCGUGAGUGAUGAAGGUCUUCGGAUCGUAAAACUCUGUUAUUAGGGAAGAACAUAUGUGUAAGUAACUGUGCACAUCUUGACGGUACCUAAUCAGAAAGCCACGGCUAACUACGUG